GCCUGGCUAGCUCAAUCGGCUAGAGCAUUCGACUCUUAAAUACAGUAGUAAUCGAAAGGUUGCGGGUUCGAGUCCCGCGUUGGGCU
rnacentral:tRNA from 2 species